UACGUAGGUGGCUAGCGUUGUCCGGAUUUACUGGGCGUAAAGAGCGCGCAGGCGGUCGUUCAAGUCGAGUGUGAAAGCCCCCGGCUCAACUGGGGAGGGUCACUCGAUACUGAUCGACUUGAAGGCGGGAGAGGGAAGCGGAAUUCCCGGUGUAGUGGUGAAAUGCGCAGAUAUCAGGAGGAACACCGGUGGCGAAGGCGGGUCUCUGGGCCGAUACUGACGCUGAGGAGCGAAAGCGUGGGGAGCGAACAGG
rnacentral:rRNA from 1 species